rnacentral:lncRNA from 1 species
AGUGCUAGCCCCCGCGCGGGUGCCCGCGUCCCGGCCCGGAAGAGAGGCGGGACGACGGCGCGUCCUCUCCCCGCAAGAUUACCUCGCAGCGCGUAGCCGGCUUUGUGUUUCCCCUCCCUCCUUCUCGGCAGCCGCCCGGGCUGCAGCAGCCGCCGGAUCCGCCGCUGCGGCCGCCUCUUAAGCGCCGCAGAGCCCCAGAGGGUGUGGAUUCUGCAAUGCUGCACAGAAACCUACUGCAGCCUCAGACCAACAGCAGCAGCAGCAGCGGCGGCGGCGGCAGCAGCAGCAGCAGCAUUAGCAGCAGCAGCUUCUCUCAAUGCUGAGUAACUGUCAUUGUGAAGGGGUCCUUCAGAAGGAUUCAUCAUGUGAAGAAAAAUGGCUACCUAAGUGCAGGGAUUUCAAGGGCAGCAACAGCCUUCUCUGACUAUAUCUCCAAAGUAUCCCUAUUUACAGUUGAAUACAGAUAAUCAUGAGGCCCAAGACCCUAAGGAACAGUGCAGCCAGGAGUCGGAAGGAGCCUGGGUUUCUGAAUCAUCACAUGGAGGGGAGCUGUCUUCAGCUGGGAGAGCUGUCUUCAGUUGGAUACUGGGAGGAAGAAAGGGAGCUGGUUAGGAAGCAAACUUGAGUUUCCCAUGCUCUGUGGCUGAGCAAGUCACUUCACCAUUCUCAGGAUGGAAGUGGGGAUGGAGGUGGCAUCGGCCUCAUUUGAACCACAUGGACUAAGAGGGGCUAUGGGAGUAUUCCCCAAAGGAAGACUGAGGGGCGUUACUAGAAAAUGGGAGAAUGGAAGCAGAGUGGGCAAAACCAACAGAUGUUCCCUAUAGUAAAUAAAAAAUUUGGACAAUUAUUAGUGAGCAAGUACUUAUAACAUAUAUGGCACAUGGGAUUGUGACUCACCAGUGUGUUAGCACAAUAUGGUCAAAAACCUCUGAUCCAAUUCAACCUACUCAUCUUAACGAUUUUAUCAGCAUUUAAUAAGUUUGUUUUGGCCAUCAUGUGUUAUAGUUUUGUUUGUGGUUUUGACACCUCAUUAGAGGUUUCAUCAGUGUAAGGAGCCAACCUAAGAGCUCUUCUCACAAGUUUCCCAAGAGAGAAAUUGCCCCUCCAAAUGUGAGGAGUCUCACUUUAUAUAGAUAGCAUCCACACUUCUUGCAGUGGAAAACAAACCUUAUAAAAUGUAAUACGUUUGGUUUCCUAACUUUUUCAUGACCCUGGGGUGGUAGAAGGAAGUGCAAGUUUUAUCACUUGGAUUUAGAGACAAGGAAAUUGAAAUGGAGAGAGAAUUGGGCUCACAUGCAGGCAGCAUGUCUAGCUGCCUCCAUCGUGUGAUCUGAGGCACCCCAUGAGGCCUAUGAUUACUGUAAACCUCUAAAAUAAAUAAAAAAUAAAACAAUCUCUGCCACUGAA